UGGGGAAUUUUGGACAAUGGGGGAAACCCUGAUCCAGCCAUCCCGCGUGUGCGAUGAAGGCCUUCGGGUUGUAAAGCACUUUUGGCAGGAAAGAAACGUCGCGGGUUAAUACCCCGCGAAACUGACGGUACCUGCAGAAUAAGCACCGGCUAACUACGUGCCAGCAGCCGCGGUAAUACGUAGGGUGCAAGCGUUAAUCGGAAUUACUGGGCGUAAAGCGUGCGCAGGCGGUUCGGAAAGAAAGAUGUGAAAUCCCAGAGCUUAACUUUGGAACUGCAUUUUUAACUACCGGGCUAGAGUGUGUCAGAGGGAGGUGGAAUUCCGCGUGUAGCAGUGAAAUGCGUAGAUAUGCGGAGGAACACCGAUGGCGAAGGCAGCCUCCUGGGAUAACACUGACGCUCAUGCACGAAAGCGUGGGGAGCAAACAGGAUUAGAUACCCUGGUAGUCCACGCCCUAAACGAUGUCAACUAGCUGUUGGGGCCUUCGGGCCUUGGUAGCGCAGCUAACGCGUGAAGUUGACCGCCUGGGGAGUACGGUCGCAAGAUUAAAACUCAAAUGAAUUGACGGGGUCAUAGCUGUUUCCU
rnacentral:rRNA from 1 species